UCAAUUUUCCAACUUGAAUACAACUUAUACCUCACUAAGAAUAGAAUUACAUAAACAAUACAACUCAAGAACCAACCUAAUACAUAGAAUCUAAGACACCUUAACUUCUAAGUAAUAGGAACAGGUUCAACUGCUAACUUCUUCAAGCUUUGGAACUUCUAAGAUAAUUUGCCAAUUGCCUCUGUCUUUGUAAGUGCGUAAGUAAUUAUGCAAAUCACCUCCUCUAUUUAACCAUAACUCUCCAAAGAGUCCUUCACCGGAUCAGUCUUCUAUCUUCAUUAGUACUCCCAUUUCUUUAGAGUUUGUUGCGAAAAAAAACUACUACUUCAAGUACAACUCCUAUUUCUAAUCAAACACCUUUAUCUUCAAGUAUUUUGAUCAACACCAAAGUCUUCUAUUUCACACGUGAUUAAUACUUGGAGUUUAUCAGCUUCAGCAACUUAUCCAAUUCUGAAACCACAUGCCUUUGUCUUCAUGUAACAUUGGACUUGUAUCUAUUGACUCGACAUAGCAGUGGACUAGUUUAACUAACAUGUUUCAGCUAUAAUGUCCAUCUCUAAAAUUUUAUACAGCUCAACACCAAUCUCAGAUAGUAUAUGGCAAAGCAUCUUGCAGUGGCAAGGAAUACAAGGACAAUAAAUAGGUUGCAAAGGGAAGAGCAAAGGAGUUGUUGUGUACCAGAUGGCUUUAUCUGCAAUAGUAUACCCUGUGUGGAUGUAAAGGAACCUAAGGGUGUUUCAGAAGUCCACAAGACCAAAAAGAUUCAUUACAAAGGUGAUAACUCAAGAAGUCAUUCAAAGAACAAGUUUGAGCUAGGUAAAAGGAUGUUUAGGUGCCUUCUUACUUAGCAUCUGGCAUGGGUUCUACUUACCCACCAAUGAAAUAUUUUCCGUGCACUUUUUUUUAUCUCUUCUUUCCUGUUUCUUGAGUUGUAACAUUUCACUUUGGUAAAUAAAUU
rnacentral:lncRNA from 1 species